GCUCGAUGGCGUAGUGGAAGCACGCGUUCCCGAUAUGGAUGAAACGCGGGCUCGACUCCCGCCCGAGGUCG